GAGUAACACGUGGGUAACCUGCCCAUAAGACUGGGAUAACUCCGGGAAACCGGGGCUAAUACCGGAUAACAUUUUGAACCGCAUGGUUCGAAAUUGAAAGGCGGCUUCGGCUGUCACUUAUGGAUGGACCCGCGUCGCAUUAGCUAGUUGGUGAGGUAACGGCUCACCAAGGCAACGAUGCGUAGCCGACCUGAGAGGGUGAUCGGCCACACUGGGACUGAGACACGGCCCAGACUCCUACGGGAGGCAGCAGUAGGGAAUCUUCCGCAAUGGACGAAAGUCUGACGGAGCAACGCCGCGUGAGUGAUGAAGGCUUUCGGGUCGUAAAACUCUGUUGUUAGGGAAGAACAAGUGCUAGUUGAAUAAGCUGGCACCUUGACGGUACCUAACCAGAAAGCCACGGCUAACUACGUGCCAGCAGCCGCGGUAAUACGUAGGUGGCAAGCGUUAUCCGGAAUUAUUGGGCGUAAAGCGCGCGCAGGUGGUUUCUUAAGUCUGAUGUGAAAGCCCACGGCUCAAC
rnacentral:rRNA from 1 species